UACGUAGGGUGCGAGCGUUUGUCCGGAAUUAUUGGGCGUAAAGGGCUCGUAGGCGGUCUGUUGCGUCGGGAGUGAAAACUCAGGGCUUAACCCUGAGCUUGCGGUCGAUACGGGCAUGACUGGAGUUCGGCAGGGGAGACUGGAAUUCCUGGUGUAGCGGUGAAAUGCGCAGAUAUCAGGAGGAACACCGGUGGCGAAGGCGGGUCUCUGGGCCGAUACUGACGCUGAGGAGCGAAAGCGUGGGGAGCGAACAGG
rnacentral:rRNA from 1 species